UAGGGAAUCUUCCGCAAUGGACGCAAGUCUGACGGAGCAACGCCGCGUGAGUGAAGAAGGAUUUCGGUUCGUAAAACUCUGUUGUUAGAGAAGAACAGCGCAUAGAGUAACUGUUAUGCGUGUGACGGUAUCUAACCAGAAAGCCACGGCUAACUACGUGCCAGCAGCCGCGGUAAUACGUAGGUGGCAAGCGUUGUCCGGAUUUAUUGGGCGUAAAGCGAGCGCAGGAGGUCAAUUAAGUCUGAUGUGAAAGCCCCCGGCUCAACCGGGGAGGUUCAAUGGAAACUGGUUGACUUGAGUGCAGAAGAGGAGAGUGGAAUUCCAUGUGUAGCGGUGAAAUGCGGAGAUAUAUGGAGGAACACCAGUGGCGAAGGCGACUCUUUGGUCUGUAACUGACGCUGAGGCUCGAAAGCGUGGGUAGCAAACAGG
rnacentral:rRNA from 1 species